AGGGGGAUAACCACCCGAAAGGGUGGCUAAUACCGCAUAAAUUCUGAGGAAGAAAGCUGGGGACCUAGGAAUAGGCCUAGCGCUUUUUGAGCGGCCGAUGUCGGAUUAGCUAGUUGGUGAGGUAAAGGCUCACCAAGGCGAAGAUCUGUAGCGGGUCUGAGAGGAUGAUCCGCCACACUGGGACUGAGACACGGCCCAG
rnacentral:rRNA from 1 species